rnacentral:rRNA from 1 species
UACGUAGGGGGCAAGCGUUGUCCGGAAUCAUUGGGCGUAAAGAGCGCGUAGGCGGCCCGAUAAGUCCGCCGUGAAAGUCCAGGGCUCAACCCUGGAAUGCCGGUGGAAACUGUCGGGCUGGAGUCCGGAAGAGGCGAGUGGAAUUCCUGGUGUAGCGGUGAAAUGCGCAGAUAUCAGGAGGAACACCGGUGGCGAAGGCGGGUCUCUGGGCAGUAACUGACGCUGAGGAGCGAAAGCGUGGGGAGCGAACAGG